rnacentral:rRNA from 1 species
UGAACGCUGGCGGUAUGCUUAACACAUGCAAGUCGAACGGAAACGAUACUAGCUUGCUAGUAGGCGUCGAGUGGCGGACGGGUGAGUAACGCGUAGGAAUCUGCCUGAUAGUGGGGGAUAGCCCGAAGAAAUUCGGAUUAAUACCGCAUAAUCUAUUCGUAGUAAAGUGGGGGACUUUCGAGCCUCACGCUAUCAGAUGAGCCUGCGUAAGAUUAGCUAGUUGGUAGGGUAAAAGCCUACCAAGGCAACGAUCUUUAGCUGGUCUGAGAGGAUGAUCAGCCACAUCGGGACUGAGACACGGCCCGAACUCCUACGGGAGGCAGCAGUGGGGAAUAUUGGACAAUGGGGGCAACCCUGAUCCAGCAAUACCGCGUGUGUGAAGAAGGCCUGAGGGUUGUAAAGCACUUUCAAUUGUGAAGAAAAGUUAACGGUUAAUAACCGUUAGCCUUGACGUUAACUUUAGAAGAAGCACCGGCUAACUCCGUGCCAGCAGCCGCGGUAAUACGGAGGGUGCAAGCGUUAAUCGGAAUUACUGGGCGUAAAGCGUGCGUAGGCGGUUUAUUAAGUCAGAUGUGAAAGCCCCGGGCUUAACCUGGGAACUGCAUUUGAAACUGGUCAACUAGAGUAUGGUAGAGGAAAGUGGAAUUUCUGGUGUAGCGGUGAAAUGCGUAGAUAUCAGAAGGAACAUCAAUGGCGAAGGCAGCUUUCUGGACCAAUACUGACGCUGAGGUACGAAAGCGUGGGUAGCAAACAGGAUUAGAUACCCUGGUAGUCCACGCCGUAAACGAUGAUAACUAGCCGUUGGGGGGAUUUACCCUUUAGUGGCGAAGCUAACGCGUUAAGUUAUCCGCCUGGGGAGUACGGCCGCAAGGUUAAAACUCAAAGGAAUUGACGGGGACCCGCACAAGCGGUGGAGCAUGUGGUUUAAUUCGAUGCAACGCGAAGAACCUUACCUGGUCUUGACAUCCUGCGAACUUUCUAGAAAUAGAUUGGUGCCUUCGGGAACGCAGUGACAGGUGCUGCAUGGCUGUCAUCAGCUCGUGUCGUGAGAUGUUGGGUUAAGUCCCGUAACGAGCGCAACCCCUAUCCUUAUUUGCCAGCACGUCAUGGUGGGAACUAUAAGGAGACUGCCGGUGAUAAACCGGAGGAAGGCGGGGACGACGUCAAGUCAUCAUGGCCCUUACGACCAGGGCUACACACGUGCUACAAUGGGAAGGACAAAGAGCCGCGAAGCCGCGAGGUGUAGCUAAUCUCAGAAACCUUUUCGUAGUCCGGAUUGGAGUCUGCAACUCGACUCCAUGAAGUCGGAAUCGCUAGUAAUCGUAGAUCAGAAUGCUACGGUGAAUACGUUCCCGGGUCUUGUACUCACCGCCC